AACGAACGCUGGCGGCAGGCCUAACACAUGCAAGUCGAACGCCCCGCAAGGGAGUGGCAGACGGGUGAGUAACACGUGGGAACGUACCCUUCGGUUCGGGAUAACUCAGGGAAACUUGAGCUAAUACCGGAUACGUCCGAGAGGAGAAAGAUUUAUCGCCGAGGGAUCGGCCCGCGUCUGAUUAGCUUGUUGGUGAGGUAACGGCUCACCAAGGCGACGAUCAGUAGCUGGUCUGAGAGGAUGAUCAGCCACAUUGGGACUGAGACACGGCCCAAACUCCUACGGGAGGCAGCAGUGGGGAAUAUUGGACAAUGGGCGCAAGCCUGAUCCAGCCAUGCCGCGUGAGUGAUGAAGGCCCUAGGGUUGUAAAGCUCUUUUACCCGGGAAGAUAAUGACUGUACCGGGAGAAUAAGCCCCGGCUAACUUCGUGCCAGCAGCCGCAGUAAU
rnacentral:rRNA from 1 species